ACGGGAGGCAGCAGUGGGGAAUCUUGCGCAAUGGGCGAAAGCCUGACGCAGCGACGCCGCGUGGGGGAUGAAGGCCCUCGGGUUGUAAACCCCUUUCGGCAGGGACGAAGCGAUCGUGACGGUACCUGCAGAAGAAGCCUCGGCUAACUACGUGCCAGCAGCCGCGGUAACACGUGGGAGGCGAGCGUUGUCCGGAUUCAUUGGGCGUAAAGAGCGCGCAGGCGGUUUGGCAAGUCGGAUGUGAAAUCCCGAGGCUCAACCUCGGGACUGCAUCCGAUACUGCCCGACUAGAGGUAGGUAGGGGAGAUCGGAAUUCCUGGUGUAGCGGUGAAAUGCGCAGAUAUCAGGAGGAACACCGGUGGCGAAGGCGGAUCUCUGGGCCUUACCUGACGCUCAGGCGCGAAAGCUAGGGGAGCGAACAGGAUUAGAUACCCUGGUA
rnacentral:rRNA from 1 species